rnacentral:rRNA from 1 species
AGAGUUUGAUCAUGGCUCAGAAUCAACGCUGGCGGCGUGCCUCAGACAUGCAAGUCGAACGCGAAAGUCCCCUUCGGGGGGCAAGUAGAGUGGCGCACGGGUGAGUAACACGUAGGUAAUCUACCUUUGGAUUGGGAACAACAACCGGAAACGGUUGCUAAUACCGAAUAAUGCAGCGGCACCUAAUGGUGACAGUUGUUAAAGCGGGGGAUCGCAAGACCUCGCGUCUGAAGAGGAGCCUGCGGCAGAUCAGCUUGUUGGUAAGGUAACGGCUUACCAAGGCGAUGAUCUGUAGCCGGCCUGAGAGGGCGGUCGGCCACACUGACACUGACAUACGGGUCAGACUCCUACGGGAGGCAGCAGUCGGGAAUUUUGGGCAAUGGGCGAAAGCCUGACCCAGCAACGCCGCGUGAAGGAUGAAAUCCCUCGGGAUGUAAACUUCGCAAGAACGGGAAGAAUAAGUCGGUGCUAACACCAUCGGCGAUGACGGUACUGUUUGUAAGCUCCGGCUAACUCCGUGCCAGCAGCCGCGGUAAUUC